rnacentral:rRNA from 2 species
GGGUUGUGAGGUUAAGCGACUAAGCGUACACGGUGGAUGCCCUGGCAGUCAGAGGCGAUGAAGGACGUGCUAAUCUGCGAUAAGCGCCGGUAAGGUGAUAUGAACCGUUAUAACCGGCGAUUUCCGAAUGGGGAAACCCAGUGUGACUCGUCACACUAUCAUUAACUGAAUCCAUAGGUUAAUGAGGCGAACCGGGGGAACUGAAACAUCUAAGUACCCCGAGGAAAAGAAAUCAACCGAGAUUCCCCCAGUAGCGGCGAGCGAACGGGGAGGAGCCCAGAGCCUGAAUCAGCAUGUGUGUUAGUGGAAGCGUCUGGAAAGGCGCGCGAUACAGGGUGACAGCCCCGUACACAAAAGCGCAUGUGCUGUGAGCUCGAUGAGUAGGGCGGGACACGUGGUAUCCUGUCUGAAUAUGGGGGGACCAUCCUCCAAGGCUAAAUACUCCUGACUGACCGAUAGUGAACCAGUACCGUGAGGGAAAGGCGAAAAGAACCCCGGCGAGGGGAGUGAAAAAGAACCUGAAACCGUGUACGUACAAGCAGUGGGAGCACAGGUUUACCUGUGUGACUGCGUACCUUUUGUAUAAUGGGUCAGCGACUUAUAUUCUGUAGCAAGGUUAACCGAAUAGGGGAGCCGGAGGGAAACCGAGUCUUAAUUGGGCGUUAAGUUGCAGGGUAUAGACCCGAAACCCGGUGAUCUAGCCAUGGGCAGGUUGAAGGUUGGGUAACACUAACUGGAGGACCGAACCGACUAAUGUUGAAAAAUUAGCGGAUGACCUGUGGCUGGGGGUGAAAGGCCAAUCAAACCGGGAGAUAGCUGGUUCUCCCCGAAAGCUAUUUAGGUAGCGCCUCGUGAAUUCAUCUCCGGGGGUAGAGCACUGUUUCGGCUAGGGGGCCAUCCCGGCUUACCAACCCGAUGCAAACUGCGAAUACCGGAGAAUGUUAUCACGGGAGACACACGGCGGGUGCUAACGUCCGUCGUGAAGAGGGAAACAACCCAGACCGCCAGCUAAGGUCCCAAAGUCAUGGUUAAGUGGGAAACGAUGUGGGAAGGCCCAGACAGCCAGGAUGUUGGCUUAGAAGCAGCCAUCAUUUAAAGAAAGCGUAAUAGCUCACUGGUCGAGUCGGCCUGCGCGGAAGAUGUAACGGGGCUAAACCAUGCACCGAAGCUGCGGCAGCGACGCUGAUGCGUUGUUGGGUAGGGGAGCGUUCUGUAAGCCUGCGAAGGUGGCCUGUGAGGGUUGCUGGAGGUAUCAGAAGUGCGAAUGCUGACAUAAGUAACGAUAAAGCGGGUGAAAAGCCCGCUCGCCGGAAGACCAAGGGUUCCUGUCCAACGUUAAUCGGGGCAGGGUGAGUCGACCCCUAAGGCGAGGCCGAAAGGCGUAGUCGAUGGGAAACGGGUUAAUAUUCCCGUACUUGGUGUUACUGCGAAGGGGGGACGGAGAAGGCUAUGUUGGCCGGGCGACGGUUGUCCCGGUUUAAGCGUGUAGGUGUGUGUUCCAGGUAAAUCCGGUUCACUUUAACACUGAGGCGUGAUGACGAGGCACUACGGUGCUGAAGCAACAAAUGCCCUGCUUCCAGGAAAAGCCUCUAAGCAUCAGGUAACAUCAAAUCGUACCCCAAACCGACACAGGUGGUCAGGUAGAGAAUACCAAGGCGCUUGAGAGAACUCGGGUGAAGGAACUAGGCAAAAUGGUGCCGUAACUUCGGGAGAAGGCACGCUGACACGUAGGUGAAGUGAUUUACUCAUGGAGCUGAAGUCAGUCGAAGAUACCAGCUGGCUGCAACUGUUUAUUAAAAACACAGCACUGUGCAAACACGAAAGUGGACGUAUACGGUGUGACGCCUGCCCGGUGCCGGAAGGUUAAUUGAUGGGGUCAGCGCAAGCGAAGCUCCUGAUCGAAGCCCCGGUAAACGGCGGCCGUAACUAUAACGGUCCUAAGGUAGCGAAAUUCCUUGUCGGGUAAGUUCCGACCUGCACGAAUGGCGUAAUGAUGGCCAGGCUGUCUCCACCCGAGACUCAGUGAAAUUGAACUCGCUGUGAAGAUGCAGUGUACCCGCGGCAAGACGGAAAGACCCCGUGAACCUUUACUAUAGCUUGACACUGAACAUUGAGCCUUGAUGUGUAGGAUAGGUGGGAGGCUUUGAAGUGUGGACGCCAGUCUGCAUGGAGCCGACCUUGAAAUACCACCCUUUAAUGUUUGAUGUUCUAACGUGGACCCGUGAUCCGGGUUGCGGACAGUGUCUGGUGGGUAGUUUGACUGGGGCGGUCUCCUCCUAAAGAGUAACGGAGGAGCACGAAGGUUGGCUAAUCCUGGUCGGACAUCAGGAGGUUAGUGCAAUGGCAUAAGCCAGCUUGACUGCGAGCGUGACGGCGCGAGCAGGUGCGAAAGCAGGUCAUAGUGAUCCGGUGGUUCUGAAUGGAAGGGCCAUCGCUCAACGGAUAAAAGGUACUCCGGGGAUAACAGGCUGAUACCGCCCAAGAGUUCAUAUCGACGGCGGUGUUUGGCACCUCGAUGUCGGCUCAUCACAUCCUGGGGCUGAAGUAGGUCCCAAGGGUAUGGCUGUUCGCCAUUUAAAGUGGUACGCGAGCUGGGUUUAGAACGUCGUGAGACAGUUCGGUCCCUAUCUGCCGUGGGCGCUGGAGAACUGAGGGGGGCUGCUCCUAGUACGAGAGGACCGGAGUGGACGCAUCACUGGUGUUCGGGUUGUCAUGCCAAUGGCACUGCCCGGUAGCUAAAUGCGGAAGAGAUAAGUGCUGAAAGCAUCUAAGCACGAAACUUGCCCCGA